rnacentral:rRNA from 1 species
UCCGGUUGAUCCUGCCAGAGGCCGCUGCUAUCCGGCUGGGACUAAGCCAUGCUAGUCUAGGGGCUUGUACUCCUUCGGGGGUGCAAGCACCGGCGGACGGCUCAGUAACACGUGGACAACCUGCCCUCGGGUGGGGGAUAACCCCGGGAAACUGGGGCUAAUCCCCCAUAGGUGAUGGGUGCUGGAAUGCCCCAUCUCCGAAAGCGCUUAGCGCCCGAGGAUGGGUCUGCGGCGGAUUAGGUAGUUGGUGGGGUAACGGCCCACCAAGCCUAAGAUCCGUACGGGCUGUGGGAGCAGGAGCCCGGAGAUGGACCCUGAGACAAGGGUCCAGGCCCUACGGGGCGCAGCAGGCGCGAAACCUCCGCAAUGCGGGAAACCGCGACGGGGUUAGCCGGAGUGCCCGUGCAUUGCACGGGCUGUCGGGGUGCCUAAACAGCACCCCAUAGCAAGGGCCGGGCAAGGCCGGUGGCAGCCGCCGCGGUAAGACCGGCGGCCCGAGUGGCGGCCACUCUUAUUGGGCCUAAAGCGUCCGUAGCCGGCCCAGUAAGUCCCCCGGGAAAUCUGGUCGCUUAACGAUCAGACUUCC